GUCUUUGCCAAGUGGUUACCACAACGGAAUCAAAAUCUGUUCCUCUUUGGCUGCGCAGGUUCAAAACCUGUUGAAGGACA